rnacentral:lncRNA from 1 species
GAUUCUUUUGUUUAGUUCCUAAUCUAAGUAGUGAUUCAUUGAUAUCAAAGUUAGUAUUGUCCAUUUAUAGUAUCAAAACUAAGAAUAAGAUUGAGAAUGGAAAUGGGGAAUGUGUCAAAGAGACAACAACCUGACUAUAGAACAGACAACAGCAGAAGGUCACCAAUAGGUCUUCAAUGCAGCGAGAAACUCCCGCACCCAGAGCCGUCCUUCAGCUGGCCUCUAAACAAAUAUAUAUACUAGUUUUAACAUUAAUAUAAAAAAAAAACUAUAUCUUAUUGAUGCUGAAAUUGAUUUUCAAGAUUGUUAAAAUAUGUUUUGAUAAAAAGUGCAAAAUGUUUUACUGACAAUUAAGUUCAAAACUUGAAAUUUAAUUUAUCUAUCAAAGAAACUGAGUACACCAUAAUGUUGUUGUUUGUCUGCUUUCCUGGUCUGACCAGUAAUGAGUGUUUGAUAGUGUUAUUUUCAUGGCUUGUUAAAGACUGUAUUUAUGGUCUGUUGAAUGUUAUUGUCCACUGUGAGGACUCUGAAGUAGGUAACAAUGAGACAUUCUAAAUUGAUGUGUCUAAUAUGUUCAGACCCAG